UACAGAGGGGGCAAGCGUUGUUCGGAAUUACUGGGCGUAAAGGGCGCGUAGGCGGCCUGCUAAGUCGAACGUGAAAUCCCUGGGCUCAACCCAGGAACUGCGUCCGAUACUGGUUGGCUUGAAUCCGGGAGAGGGAUGUGGAAUUCCAGGUGUAGCGGUGAAAUGCGUAGAUAUCUGGAGGAACACCGGUGGCGAAGGCGACAUCCUGGACCGGUAUUGACACUGAGGCGCGAAAGCCAGGGGAGCAAACGGG
rnacentral:rRNA from 1 species